UGAGGAAAUUCCUUAAACAAUUGGGGCAAUACAAAAGCAUAUCUUGUAGAUAAUUUCAAAUAAUGUUAUGCCAUUAGACAUACAUUUACCAAAUAUAUUAUUACAUCCUUGUUGAAACAUGGCCAUUACUAUAGUCCAUGAUAGUCAACAUCUUUCACUAUUUUUAAGUAGACUUGGUUUCAUGAAUGCAUGAGAAUGUGCCCUGGCCUUGCUAGGUGCAGAUAGGGGUGCGCAUUCGGUUUGAACCGAACCGAAUUGAAUUAAAUCAUAAAAAUCGAAUUACAUA
rnacentral:misc_RNA from 1 species